UUUUUAGUUUUUUUAGUUUAUUUUAUUAUCUUUUCAUUUACGUUAAACUCAUUUGUUUAAUUUGCUUACGGUGUACUUACAGUUAACUUUUAUGUUCAACUUGUUUUUGUUUAAAAUUGUAUGCUAAUGACUAAACUCUGUUUGUAUAUAUUUUUAAUGUUUUCACUAUUUUCAUUUGAGCUUAAUUAGUGAUUUUUUGUGAUAAAAUAAUAGAUUUAAAGAUCGAUCAAUGACGUAACUGCUUAUCAAUUGCUCCUAUCCAACCUCUCCUUUGGUUAAAGGAUUCGUGAUUCAUUCCAAUAUUUAUUCCCAACAUCAAAAGGAUAAAAACAAUGAUAACAAUGUUUCAAGAUAUGAUAGAAACGUUAAAGGUGUACUUGAUGAAACAUAUUCCUGAUUCGGUACCUCAAUAGACACAAAUGGUCAUAGCCAGCAGUUCAAUGGUCUGAAACCACUUGUAGCUCAAUUUACAAAAUAGUCAAAGUAAAUUUGGUUUAUAAUGUACCAAGUUCAACAAUACAGGUCAAUCAAAAGAUCUCAAAUGAGCAACAUGAAACAACAUUACUAAUACAAUUGCUGAUUGAAUUUAAACGUCUCUUCAAUUGGAUACACCCAAUCAAUUUGAUGAACAUUGAUAUCUCUUCGUUGUACAAUCAAAUCAAUAAGCGAGACAGUUUCCAAUCAUUAAGUUCAAAGGAGCAAUAUUCUGGAAACAUGGAAAGAAGAGCCGAGUCAUGGGAAAUCCUUGAAACAAUUUCAUCAUUAGAAUGAUAUCUUUUGAUCGAUUUGUUUUACACUUUUAUCCCAAUAUUAAUUUUCUUCAAAUGGAAUCGAAAAGGAUAAUAACAAUUAUGACAAAUGAACACCAUUCCGAUAAAGAUAAAAAUACAAAGUGCAAUAUUUGCAUCGAUACAUGUGUAACCUUGAUUCUCAUGUUUUCAAACCGUUAACAUUUUAUUUAAAUUUAGUCACGCAAGUGAUUCAAAUAUCCAGAUGAA